rnacentral:rRNA from 1 species
AGGGUGCAUGGUGGAUGCCUAGGCAUCAGGAGGCGAUGAAGGACGUGGUUAGCUGCGAUAAGCUCCGGUGAACCGCUAGCGGGUGUCGACCCGGAGAUCUCCGACAUGGGAAAACCCGGCGGGGGGAAUGCCCCGUCAUUGCGCGCUGAAUACAUAGGCGCGCGAAGCCAACGCAGAGAAUUGACACAUCUGAGUACCUGCAGGAACAGAAAGAAACCUCGAUGUCCUCAGUAGCGGCGAGCGAACGGGACAGAGCCUAAACCGAUACGGUGCCAAGGGUGCAGCCGUUGCCGUAUCGGGGUCGUGGGACGCGGCAUGGGAUCCCUGCAUGGGUUCCCGAGAGUUACAAAGGUCUUGGGUAGCCGAACGCGUUUGGAAAGACGCGGCGAUACAGGGUGAAAGCCCCGUAGGCGAAACUCAAGGCUCUCUCGGUCCGCGCACCCGAGUAAUGCCAGCCACGUGGAAUCUGGCAUGAAUCUGGGGGGCCCACCCCCCAAGGCUAAAUACUCCCUGAUGACCGAUAGCGAACCAGUAGCGCGAGUGAAAGGUGAAAAGAACCCCGGGAGGGGAGUCAAAAGAAUCUGAAACCAUGUACCUACAAGCUGUGGGAGCUCCAUGCUCGCAAGAGCGGAGUGACCGCGUACCUUUUGCAUAAUGGACCGGCGAGUUACGGUGUGCAGCAAGGUUAAGUUCUUCAGGAACGGAGCCGCAGCGAAAGCGAGUGUGAAUAGCGCGACUAGUUGCAUGCCGUAGACGCGAAAGCGGGUGAUCUAUCCAUGGUUAGGUUGAAGCGGGCGUAACAGCUCGUGGAGGACCGAACUCGUUAACAUUGAAAAGUUAUGGGAUGAACUGUGGAUAGGAGUAAAAGUCUAAUCAAACCCGCCGAUACCUCGUUCUCCCCGAAAUAGUUUUAGGACUAGCCUCACGCCAUUAGCAUGGGGGGGUAGAGCACUAACUGAGUCGCGGGGGCUAACCGCCUACCCUUCUCAAUUAAACUCCAAAUACCCUGUGCCGUACCGUGGGAGUCAGGCUACGAGGGAUAAGCUUCGUGGCCGCGAGGGAAACAGCCCAGACCGCCGGCUAAGGUCCCGAAACUGGACUCAGUGGAUUGAAGGAAGUGAAGACGCUAAGACAGCUGGGAUGUUGGCUUAGAAGCAGCCAUCAUUUAAAAAGUGCGUAAUAGCUUACCAGUCGAGCGUUUUCGCGCCGAAAAUGAACGGGACUCAAGUCCAGUACCGAAGCCGCGGGAUCAUGUCUUUCGGGACAUGAUCGGUAGGGGAGCGUUGCAGCCUAGAGUGAAGGGUGACUGAAAAGACACCUGGACGAACUGCAAGUGAUUAUGCCGGUAUGAGUACGCGAUAAAAGGGAUGAGAAUUCCCUUCGCCGUAAGCCUAAGGUUUCCUGGGGAAGGCAAGUCCGCCCAGGGUUAGUCGGACCCUAAGGCAAGGCCGAAAGGCGUAGUCGAUGGAAGACGGGUUAAUAUUCCCGUACCACCGUGUCAACGUUUGAGGGUGGAGUGACGGAGAAGGAUAGGCCAUCGCCCUGAUGGAAUAGGGCGUGUAAGCCAGUAGGGGGAGUCCCAGGUAAAUCCAGGGCUCAUCAACCCCGAGAGGCGACGCCGAGACCACUCUGAUGUCGAAGUGGCCAAGUCCAAGCUUCCAAGAAAAUCCUUCGUUCCCGAGUUGACGCGGUGUCCGUACCGCAAACCGACACAGGUAGGCGAGAUGAAUAUUCUAAGGCGCUCGAGAGAACCCUGGAAAAGGAACUAGGCAAAAUGACCCCGUAACUUCGGGAUAAGGGGGGCCCUUCGACGUGGAGCCUGUACAGGCCGAGCGUUAGAGGGCCGCAGAGAAAAGGGUCAAGCGACUGUUUACUAAAAACACAGGUCUGUGCCAAGACGAAAAGUCGCCGUAUACAGACUGACGCCUGCUCGAUGCCAGUACGUUAAGGGGAAGGGUUAGCCUUCGGGCGAAGCUCCGAACUGAAGCCCUGGUGAAUGGCGGCCGUAACUAUGACGGUCCUAAGGUAGCGAAGUUCCUUGUCGGGUAAGUUCCGACCCGCACGAAUGGCGUAACGACUUGACCGGUGUCUCUUCCAGGGACUCGGCGAAAUUGCAGUCGAGGUGAAGAUACCUCGUACCCGCAGCUAGACGGAAAGACCCCGUGAACCUUUACUGUAGCUUGGUAUUGGCUCCUGGCAUGUGUUGUGCAGCAUAGGUGGGAGGCAGGGACGGGGGGACGCUAGUCCUUCCUGAGCCAUCGGUGAGAUACCACCCUUCACAUGCUAGGAUUCUAACUAAGUCCCGUGAAUCCGGGCUUAGGACAGUGCUAGGUGGGCAGUUUGACUGGGGCGGUCUCCUCCUAAAGGGUAACGGAGGAGCGCAAUGGCACCCUCAACGCGGUUGGCAAUCGCGUGUAGAGCGUAAAGGUAUAAGGGUGCUUGACUGUGAGACUGACAGGUCGAGCAGAUGUGAAAGCAGGCCUUAGUGACCCGGCGCUUCCGAGUGGAAGGGGCGUCGCUCAACGGAUAAAAGGUACUCCGGGGAUAACAGGCUGAUCUCCCCUAAGAGUUCAUAUCGACGGGGAGGUUUGGCACCUCGAUGUCGACUCAUCGCAUCCUGGGGCUGUAGGAGGUCCCAAGGGUUU